rnacentral:snRNA from 1 species
AGCUUUGCGCAGUGGCAGUAUCGUAGCCAAUGAGGUUUAUCCGAGGCGCGAUUAUUGCUAAUUGAAAACUGAGAGAGAUAGAG